AAAUGUGGGGGUGAUCGGCUCCAACAGCUGUCACCCCAUUNAUCACCAACCAGGGUCACCUGAUUGAUCGCCAGGGCAGAUUCAGCUGAUCUGGUUGGCUACCUCUGUGGGUGUCCCCUUUCCUCCCUCACACCUCUGAGGAUGACCUUCACUUUAAGAGGAGGAUAAGGGUACCCCAAUAACUAUGCCUCCCUUCUAGGACCUCCAAACAAGUUCUCUCAAAAUAUAAUACAUUUACUGUAUUGCCAUACCACUCAACAGACAUUGGAUCUCGUCAAAAAGUAAUAAAUAUAUUUAAAGAAUUUUAAAAUGCAUGAGAGAAUGCUUU
rnacentral:snRNA from 1 species